rnacentral:rRNA from 1 species
AACUGCCUACGGGGCGCAGCAGUGGGGGAUAUUGCACAAUGGGGGAAACCCUGAUGCAGCGACGCCGCGUGAGUGAAGAAGUAUUUCGGUAUGUAAAGCUCUAUCAGCAGGGAAGAAAAUGACAGUACCUGACCAAGAAGCCCCGGCUAACUACGUGCCAGCAGCCGCGGUAAUACGUACGGGGCAAGCGUUAUCCGGAUUUACUGGGUGUAAAGGGAGCGCAGGCGGCCUGCCAAGUCUGGUGUGAAAACCCGGGGCCCAAUCCCGGGCCUGCAUUGGA